rnacentral:lncRNA from 1 species
GACAACCCGAGAAAUUAGAAAAUUAUUAAAAUCUUAAAUGAUUGGUUUAAGGUCAAAUAAUAGACCUAGACAGAAAAUAAGUGAAUGUGUUUGAUGUUUUCAGAAAGGAAUUUUGAGCAUUUAAAAUUUCUUUUAGUGAAUUAUUCAGGAUUAAGGGUAUAUGUGUACAUGUUCAAGAUUACGGUAUCAUGUGUACAGAAUGUGGUUAAGGGUCAAGUGUUGACCAGAUAAAUUAUAUCCGUGUCAAACCCUAAUAGUAUAUAUUAAGAACGUCCACGUUCAGUUAUAAAAUUAUUAUGUUUUAUAAGAAACCCUAGAAAUCAGUUCUGGAAACCCUAAUUUCAGUUCCGGGAAUCCGAAACCCUAAUUCGAUAUUUGAAAACCCUAAUCCGAGAAAUUAUCGGAUAAGUAUAAUGCUUAAGUGCUAUUAAUUAUAAUAUUAAUUAGGGUAAAGCUUAAUUAAUUAGCAAACCAUAAUUUCAGAAUUUUUG